rnacentral:sRNA from 12 species
UGAGGCUGGUCGUAAGACCCUGGUCCACUGAACGGCGGGGGAAUCCCCC